rnacentral:misc_RNA from 1 species
GGUAUGUUGGAUCCCUGCUGGGGCAGCGACAACGUCCUCUUCAUGCCUGGUUCAUUGGAUGGUCGAGUCUCGCAUUCGGCCAUCUCACGAUUCGGUUCCCUGUGUUGCAUACCCGUUGCGAUGGUAUCUUGUUGCCUAGAAUGACCCCGUUUCGCCCUACGUUGCGAGUAACGUCGCGGCCGAAGGUGAACCAAAAAGCAUUCAUCGUGUUCCACCCCGUUCACAUUACAUGUUGCGGGACUUGGCCCAUGAUGGCGUGCUCGAGUUCUCGGAUGCGGAAUACGAAGUGGGUACGAGGAUGUCGAUCCUCGGUUCACCCCCGAACAAGCGUUCUACGCUCCGUGCGAACGACGUUCUUCCUCGUCCUGGGCUUCCGUCCACACGAGGUCGACGUCGCAGAGGAAUGCUACCUGGUUGAUCCUGCCAGUAGUCAUAU